UACGUAGGGUGCGAGCGUUGUCCGGAAUUAUUGGGCGUAAAGAGCUCGUAGGCGGUUUGUUGCGUCGGCCGUGAAAACUUGGGGCUUAACUCCGAGCUUGCGGUCGAUACGGGCAGACUUGAGUUCGGCAGGGGAGACUGGAAUUCCUGGUGUAGCGGUGAAAUGCGCAGAUAUCAGGAGGAACACCGGUGGCGAAGGCGGGUCUCUGGGCCGAUACUGACGCUGAGGAGCGAAAGCAUGGGGAGCGAGCAGG
rnacentral:rRNA from 1 species